rnacentral:tRNA from 22 species
GUCGGGAUAGCUCAGCA